GCCGAAGUGGCGGAACUGGCAGACGCGACGGUCUCAAACACCGUUGAGGGCAACCUCGUGCGGGUUCAAAUCCCGCCUUCGGCACCA
rnacentral:tRNA from 1 species